CAACCUGCCGUCUACUCAUGGACAGCCUUCUGAAAGGAAGAUUAAUACAAGAUGGCAUCAUGAGUCCGCAUGUUCACAUGAUUAAAGGUAUUCCGGUGGACGAUGGGGAUGCGUUCCAUUAGAUAGUAGGCGGGGUAACGGCCCACCUAGUCUUCGAUGGAUAGGGGUUCUGAGAGGAAGGUCCCCCACAUUGGAACUGAGACACGGUCCAAACUCCUACGGGAGGCAGCAGUGAGGAAUAUUGGUCAAUGGGCGAGAGCCUGAACCAGCCAAGUAGCGUGAAGGAUGACUGCCCUAUGGGUUGUAAACUUCUUUUAUAAAGGAAUAAAGUCGGGUAUGCAUACCCGUUUGCAUGUACUUUAUGAAUAAGGAUCGGCUAACUCCGUACCAGCAGCCGCGGUAAUACGGAGGAUCCGAGCGUUAUCCGGAUUUAUUGGGUUUAAAGGGAGCGUAGAUGGAUGUUUAAGUCAGUUGUGAAAGUUUGCGGCUCACCGUAAAAUUGCAGUUGAUACUGGAUAUCUUGAGUGCAGUUGANGCAGGCGGAAUUCGUGGUGUAGCGGUGAAAUGCUUAGAUAUCACGAANAACUCCGAUUG
rnacentral:rRNA from 1 species